GACGAACGCUGGCGGCGUGCCUAACACAUGCAAGUCGAGCGAUGAAAUCCCUUCGGGGACGGAUUAGCGGCGGACGGGUGAGUAACACGUGGGUAACCUGCCUCAUAGAGGGGAAUAGCCUUCCGAAAGGAAGAUUAAUACCGCAUAAGAUUGUAGUUUCGCAUGAAAUAGCAAUUAAAGGAGUAAUCCGCUAUGAGAUGGACCCGCGUCGCAUUAGCUAGUUGGUGAGGUAACGGCUCACCAAGGCGACGAUGCGUAGCCGACCUGAGAGGGUGAUCGGCCACAUUGGGACUGAGACACGGCCCAGACUCCUACGGGAGGCAGCAGUGGGGAAUAUUGCACAAUGGGGGAAACCCUGAUGCAGCAACGCCGCGUGAGUGAUGACGGUCUUCGGAUUGUAAAGCUCUGUCUUUAGGGACGAUAAUGACGGUACCUAAGGAGGAAGCCACGGCUAACUACGUGCCAGCAGCCGCAGUAACAC
rnacentral:rRNA from 1 species